GCGGAGAAGUGAACUCAGUCCGAAUCCUUCACUCCUCACAAACACACGCGCACACAGACAGACAUUAACAUCCGACCUCCUCGGACAGGCUGAACGGACGCGUGCCUGUGUCAUCAUUAACGUGAAUAAAAAAAUAAAUUUAAGAAAAAUAAAGCCAUAUUUAUUUUCCCGCGGAAUGCAGUGAGGUGCGCGUCGUGUGUCGAGUGUAUCGUACGAUCGCCGCGAAUUAUUGUAAUUUAUUAUUAAAUUAAUUGUUGUAACUAUAACAUAUUGUUGUUGAUUAUUAUUUAUUAAUACAGUAGUUAUAUGUCGCGAGUGCGCCCCGCGACCGCGAGUGACACUGUGGGAUAACGCGCGGCCUGCGCUGCGAGACAACAUGAUAUCGCGCCGGAGAGCGGUGGUGUUGCUGCUGGCGUGCCUGGCGGCGGCGCGCGCCGACCAGGAGCCGGCUACUGAUGGACUGGUGCACACAGACACGGAGACAGACCUCGUCGCCGAGGCCACGCAGACAGGUCCGGCCCAGAAGCGCGAGGCGGUGCUGUCCAACUCGUACGGCGAGCCGCUGCCGGCCGACGCGUACGGCCCGCCGCUGCACGUGCCCGACUCCGUUCCAGACCUGCCGCAGGGCUCCCCGGCGCCAGUGUACGGAGUGCCCGACGCGCUGGUGUUCCCCCCCUCGGGCCCCGCGCCCCCGCCGCAGCCCGCCGGCACGUACGGGCCCCCCGCGCCCGUGUCCUUCCCCAGCCAAGUGUACCACGGGCCCCCACCGCCAGUGCAGAAACUUAAACCUGUAUACGGGCCCCCGAAACCAGUAUAUGGGCCCCCGAAACCUGUAUAUGGACCUCCGAAACCCGUGUAUGGACCUCCUAAGCCUGUGUACGGGCCCCCGAAGUUCAGCCCCCCUAAGAAGACGUACGGCCCCCCCAAGCUGAGCCUGCCCAAGCCUACAUACGGAGCGCCGUUCAAGCCGCCCAAGAUCACACUGAACAAGCCGUUGUUCUCCGCUCCCAAACCAGUAUACGGACCUCCGAAACCAGUGUACGGGCCCCCUAAACCUGUAUACGGGCCCCCACCACCGCGCGACAUCCCCGCCCUGCCCCUACCCGAGCUCCCUCAGGUGUCCCUCCCCCCCAUAAACAACAACAACCUGGACCUGGGCCUCAACCUCCCCGCCCCCAUCUACGGAACUCCGCUACUCUCCCUCCCAGUAGACCUGAAACCCAACUUCCCUCUGCCGACCGACACGUACGGCCCGCCCGGCCACCCGCUGGGCCCCAACGACCAGUUGUUACUACAGAACGUUGGCAGCGUCGGUCACUACGGGCCUCCGCAGCCGGACCCGAACCCGAGACCUCCCCACCCUGGCGUCCCCGCUCCCCCCACUCCACCCCACGUGCUGUAUGAUGGAUGGAAGCCAAUCCCCGGCGUGUCGCUACCGCACGGUCCCGGCCACAUCGCCCCGCAGUACGGGCCGCCACAGGACCUGCACAUUGAGCUGGAGCAGAACCUGCCGAGCCUGGACCUGCACCAGCAGUUCUCGCCGCAGCAACAACAACACGGCGGCGCCGACAUAACCUCGGGGUACUCCAGCGUGCACCAGGACGCGCUGGCCAACAUCGACCUGCGCGCCAUCCUCGGCGGGGACUCCAACCACAUCGCGCCCGCAGACACCGUGUUCGAGGCGCACUACACCGAGGGGGACUCGGCCAGGCAACACGGGGGGAAGGGACUCGUCGCGCCCUCCGGCCAGUACGGCGUGCCGCCGGGCGCCCAGUACGGGGCCCCGCCCGGCCUGCCGCUGGCGUACGGGCAGGUGUCGGGCGGGGGCCACGCGGGCGGGGCCCCGCCGCGCGCCCCGCUCCCACUCCGCGCCGCCGUGCCGCGCGCCGUGUUCCAGCACAUCGCGCACACGACCACACACAACGACGUGCACCACUCGCACCACGCGGUGCCCGGCCCGCAGUACCUGCCGCCCCCCAUCCCCCACUCCGGGGGACACAGCGUGGCGCUGUCCAUAGAGCCCACCAGCCUGGUCAGCGUGCCCCACUCGCCCCCGCUGCAGGAGCCGAGCGGCUCGUACGGGUCCCCGGUGGACUCGUACAGCGCGCCGCUACUGACGGUGGCCGGGGACCAUGUUACCUCGGGCUCCAGUACUGACUCGGUAACAUCCACCAUCGAUGGCACAGUGCUUGCCAACCUGUCGUCGCUGUCGGCGCUGGACGCGGCCGCCAUCCUGAAGCACUGUCCGUACCACGAGGCCAUCCUGCGCGCGGCGCGGGCGGGCGACGGCAUCCCGCGCGACCUGGCCGCGCAGUACGCCAGCAGCCUCAGCAGCCUCGGCGCCGCGCUCACUGACCACGGCAAGCGGGAGGACAGGGACUCACACACUGUGCACAAGGACACACACAAGGACGCACACGUCGUGCACAAGAGCAAGUCCAUCAAGGAGAAGCACACGCGCGCGCAGCAGCUGCAGCAGGUGAGCCAGCAGAUCCAGGACACGCAGGCGCGCAUCCGCAGCCUCAACCUGCAGGCGCAGCAGCUGCAGCACAAGAUCGCGGCCACCGGGCAGGCCGUCGGCGCCGACACCCCGCAGGGUGCGACAGGUACCUCCUACUCCGUGCAGAUCCAGCCCUCGCAGGGGGGGCCGGGGGGGCCGGCCGCGCCGCACGACCAGUUACUGUCGGACGGACUGCUGCAGAGCAUCCUGCAGGCCAUCGACGACCCCGGCAAGGCGCCGCAGCUCGCGCAGCAACAGCAACACGCAGCGCAGCAACAAAAUGUCGCGCAGCAACACACACAGCAACAGCAGCCCCCCACUCCCCCCCAGCUGUCCCCCCAGCAGAGUCUGCCCGCGCUGCACUCGGCCCACUCGUUCACCUCCAACGCUCGCGAGUCGUUCUCGGACGGCAUCGUGCUCCCGCCGGGAUACGAACCCGUGGACCGCUCGCACGACCAGCACACGCAGGCCACUGAGCAGCACUCAGCCAGCGACUGCGGGCUUGCGGCGGCCGCGUCCACGCGGACUGAGAGCGUGGUACCAGCGCCCACUGAGCUCAGUCGCGCGGACAGCGACACUGCCUCCAGCGAGGACAGCGAGGUCGCGCUGUUCUUCGGGGACAAGGCGCCCGUCACUGAGCUCUCAGUCGCCACCAGCAUCAGCGGGGACUCGCACUGAGAGACACAGCCGGCCACUACCGGGACCGAGUCACUCAGUGUACAGGUAACAGUAGCUACUGUUGAACUAAAUUGCUUCAGUACUCAGUCGGCUCUAGACAACCAGUGGCUACUGUUACCCACAAACUGAGUGACUCGGCCGAGUGUACAUGUGUGUGUGUGUGUGUGUGUGUGUGUGUGUGUGUGUGUGUGUGUGUGUGUGUGCGCUAGUCGUCGAGCCAUCGUGUACAAUGUAUCGUGUCAUACACUAUACACCGCCGGCACAGGGGGGACGGGGGACGGGGGACGGGGGACGACAUCGAUAUAUAUCGACCAAUCAAAGCCUUCCGUUUGACAUCCAUAAUGGAGGUAGUUGUGGAAACAAUUACAUUAUAUUGUAUGGCCAUCGACAUUAACAGUGUGUACCAAAUAUCCUCCACAUUGUUCUACAUAACCGCACCGUCCCCCGUGUGCCGGGUAUGAGACACCCGCGGGCACGAGUCACUGCCCGCGCGUGUCGUUAUAUAAAUAUAAUGUAUAACUAUUUAUAUAUAACUAUUGUAUAAUUAUGUACUUACCGUAGCGAGUCAGUAUUGACGUAAUGUUAAAUUAUUCCAUAUAAUUAGUUCUAGUUAUCAUACAUAGAGAGCGCCACAUCGCACUGUGUAUCAACAUUUAAAUGUACAAAUUAUCACAUAAAACAACAUAUGGUACCUUAAGCCCAAUCUUCCCAAAUCCCCUAUUCCCAAACAACCCUUAAAUCCCUACCCCCCAAAAGGCCGGCAACGCACUUGUAACGCCUCUAGUGUUUCAAAUAUCCAUGGGCGGCGGUGAUUGCUUACCAUCAGAUGAUCCGUCUGCUCGUUUACCAGCUUAUACCAUAUAGAACCGAAUCCCAUCACAAUCCGUCCAGCAGUUCCCGAGUUAGCGCCGACACAAACGAGUUGACACACAGUCGCGAGGCGCUGAGCCACAAGUUACGUUUACUCGACAUAUAGUAAAUGCUAACUUUGUGUUCGUAAUUAAAUUACAAUUACUGAAACAAAUUAUUCAUAUAAUGUAAUUAUAAACCGGUUGUAAUCAAAGUCAACGUCAGAAUGGCUGCCGUGUAACGUGUAGCGGGUUCGAUUCCCGCACGGAGCAACUCUUUGUGUGAUCCACAAAUUGUUGUUCCGGGUCUGGGUGUCAUGUGUAUGUGAACUUGUAUGUUUGUAAACGUACACACGACACAGGAGACAAUCCUAGUGUGAGAUUUUUUUAAGAAAUAAUAAAAAUAUCAAGUUCCAAAAGACACUGGACUAUGGUCUAUGGCCCUUCUUUACACUAGAGAGGUACCUAUAUCACAAUCUCCACAUUUGGUAAAUGAAUUGGAGAUUGCAGUCAAGGGUUCAGGUUUACCAGAGGGCGCUGCUGAAUUAUAAAAAAUUGGUUUAUAAUACUUUACUAUGAAUACUGUGUAUAAUGUGUAUGUGUGUGUAUAAUGUGGGUAUGUGUGUGUGGGUAUAUUAAUUUAUUAGCAGGGAAUUGUUGCAUGUUAUGUUAAAUAAAAUAUGAAUUAAAAUAAAAUGUACAAACUUCA